AUUGAACGCUGGCGGCAGGCCUAACACAUGCAAGUCGAGCGAGAAAGGUCUUCGGACUGAGUACAGCGGCGGACGGGUGAGUAAAGCGUAGGAAUCUACCUGGUAGUGGGGGGAUAACUUGGGGAAACUCAAACUAAUACCGCAUACGCCCUACGGGGGAAAGCGGGGGACCGUUCGGGCCUCGCGCUAUCAGAUGAGCCUGCGUAGGAUUAGCUAGUUGGUGAGGUAAAGGCUCACCAAGGCGACGAUCCUUAGCUGGUCUGAGAGGAUGAUCAGCCACACUGGGACUGAGACACGGCCCAGACUCCUACGGGAGGCAGCAGUGGGGAAUAUUGCGCAAUGGGCGAAAGCCUGACGCAGCCAUGCCGCGUGUGUGAAGAAGGCCUUAGGGUUGUAAAGCACUUUCAAUUGGGAAGAAAAGUUGGUCGUUAAUAGCGGCCAGCCCUGACAUUACCUUUAGAAGAAGGACCGGCUAACUCCGUGCCAGCAGCCGCGGU
rnacentral:rRNA from 1 species